GGUCUGUGAUGAAUAGUAAAAGGUCUGAUUAUCCUAAGACUUGUACUUCCAUGACCUUUUCUCACAGCAGUUUCUCACCAGUCACAGCGCAAGUAAUGGUGUGGCUGGCAGAGUGUUUGCCGACAGCUUGAGAUGUGUUCAGUCCAUGUUAACCUGAAGUACUGGAGACAUGACUGGAAUCAGCAUCCAGCAGUCCUACUUGAAGGAGUUUGAGGUCUUGGGUUGUUUUAACUGGGUGUGUGAUCUGACUUUUCUGCUGAGACC
rnacentral:snoRNA from 1 species